GACUCCUGGCUCAAGAACGACGCUGGCGGCAGGCCUCAAACAUGCAAGUCUAGGGGGUGUAGCAAUACAUCACCGGCGGACGGGUGAGUAACGCGUGGGAACGUACCUUUUGGUUCGGAACAACACAGGGAAACUUGUGCUAAUACCGGAUAAGCCCUUACGGGGGAAAGAUUUAUCGCCGAAAGAUCGGCCCGCGUCUGAUUAGCUAGUUGGUGAGGUAACGGCUCACCAAGGCGACGAUCAGUAGCUGGUCUGAGAGGAUGAUCAGCCACAUUGGGACUGAGACACGGCCCAAACUCCUACGGGAGGCAGCAGUGGGGAAUAUUGGACAAUGGGCGCAAGCCUGAUCCAGCCAUGCCGCGUGAGUGAUGAAGGCCCUAGGGUUGUAAAGCUCUUUUGUGCGGGAAGAUAAUGACGGUACCGCAAGAAUAAGCCCCGGCUAACUUCGUG
rnacentral:rRNA from 1 species